AUUGAACGCUGGCGGCAGGCCUAACACAUGCAAGUCGAGCGGGGUUUUCGGACCUAGCGGCGGACGGGUGAGUAAUGCGUAGGAAGCUACCCGGUAGAGGGGGAUACCAGUUGGAAACGACUGUCAAUACCGCAUAAUGUCUACGGACCAAAGUGUGGGACCUUCGGGCCACGUGCUAUCGGAUGCGCCUACGUGGGAUUAGCUAGUUGGUGAGGUAAUGGCUCACCAAGGCGACGAUCUCUAGCUGGUUUGAGAGGAUGAUCAGCCACACUGGAACUGAGGCACGUUCCAGACUCCUACGGGAGGCAGCAGUGGGGAAGAUUGGACAAUGGGCGCAAGCCUGAUCCAGCCAUGCCGCGUGUGUGAAGAAGGCCUUCGGGUUGUAAAGCACUUUCAGCGAGGAGGAAGGGUGGUGUGUUAAUAGCACAUCAUUUUGACGUUACUCGCAGAAGAAGCACCGGCUAACUCUGUGCCAGCCGCCGCAGUAUAC
rnacentral:rRNA from 1 species